rnacentral:lncRNA from 10 species
AGUCUGGAGAGCUGACUGAAAUACAGGGAUAGAGGAGGCAGCAGCAAGGCCCUGGGAGCUGAAUGGGUCCCCGGGCAGCCCAUUCCUGCCUGGCACCACAGGGAUCCAACGGGAGAGGAACAGAGGGUAAAACUACACGGAGAGAAGGAAAUCUCUAGCUGAACUUUGUAACAAUUCGAACAGCGUGAGAAGUCUCCUGGCCAGAACUCGGGGGAGGACACAAAUCUCCUGCACAGUUAAUAUCCAGAGUCACACGUGGAGAGGAAGCAUCACAAUGAGACCAUACAACCAUAUAAUCUGUUCAAGUCCUAGAAGGUGUUGGCAGAGCUGCAGGACUGACCUAGGUCAAUGGCUGUGGGUGUCUGCUAACAGAUUUAACUGCCUGCCACCUGAGCACUGGAGCCACCACAGUACUCAAUCAAGACAGGAUUUGGGGUUUCUACAGCCAGCAUCACUGAUGGUGACAGAGACACACUGCUUCACACACAGCUGGCUUUCCUUUUUUUCUGAGGUACCAAGUGUUUGCCACCAACAGUGUAUCUAAGACACAAUGUCUGGCUAGUCUUUUGCUAUUAGAAAGGUGCAGCAUCUCACACCUGUAAUCCCAGCACUUUGGGAGACAAAGGCAGGUAGAUCACCUGAGGUCAGGGAUUCAAGACCAGCCUGGCC